rnacentral:lncRNA from 1 species
UUUUAUUUUAUGUGGAGGUAGAUAUGGUCCAAGAAAAAGAUAUAUAGAGUGAAUAUUUUAACGGGCUGGAUAAAGAUCUAAAGAAACAAGCUUGGAAGACUGGAAGCAGGAAAGGCAGGAGGCAAAAAAAUCUAGGGAAGAGGCAUGUACACAUGGCUAUAUAGGUGGACACCAAGAGGAUCGGUCCUAUUGGCCUGUCCCCAUCACUCUCAGUAAACUUCUUGACUAAUUAUUUUUACCUUGAAAACAGUUCUUGGUCUUAGUUACCAGGACAAAAAUAUUUCUGCCAGUACAUUAAGAGUUUUUACUAAAGCUGAGUUUUCAGUUGCUGCCUUGUUAUUGAGGUCCUUAUGCUGACAGACUAAAAAGGAGAGAAGAAAAUGAGAUCCUACUUCUACAAGGGAAAGCUCCAAUCUCCUUCUUGUCCCUUCUCUCCCAGGAUGGACUUUCACCUAGUAAAAGUAGUCAAUGAACAG